UUCGUGGCAAUGUUGAUUUAAAGGAGGUGUUUCAUUUUCUCCCUCUGAACAAAGCCUACAAAGCCAGGCAUUGUUUGGCAGUCUCGUAAAAGAAUAUAUAUAUAUAAGAAGAGGAGUCAAUUCAUGUAUUUGGAGUCUACUACUUCCUGCAGUCUCCCUUCUAAGAAAUAACCAGACUGAACAACGGCAUCCUUUCAGGGAAGUGCGAAGGAUGAAAACCACGCCAGGUAACAACACCAGAAUGUUACAAUUUCAUUAAAAUUGCAAUGUCCCAGCUGAAUUCCUUUAUUUUUUACAAUAAUAUCCCUAUAAUCAGAUAUAACCGCGAAAACGUUUUUUUCCGAAAUCCAGCAUACACAAAACUAUGCUGACUUUUUGGACCUUCUGAUGCGCUUGCGCUCUGGUGAGAAUUAUUACUUAACAGCAAUAAAGCUUUGAAACACGUGGUUUCUUCUGCACAUGAUUCAAGCAUACACUGUUCUUAUUUUCCUGUGUUUAGCUGCAGUAUUGUGGUAUGUUCUGGUACAGGAGGAGACCCAUGAGGAGGGACACACUGUGAGUUACCACAUUAGGAAUGCCAAGGGGCCUGACUCUGGGUGUGUCUAUACUGUAAAUUUAAGUUAGUUUGACACCACUUUAUGCAAUAGAAUCAUGAGAGUUGUAGGAGCCCCCGGUGGCACAGUGAGUUAAACCCUUGUGCUGGCAGGACUGCUGACUUGAAGGUUGGGUUGCUGACCUGAAAGUUGACAGUUGGAAUUCAACCUGGCGAGAGCGCAGAUGAGCUCUCCCUAUCAGCUCCAGCUCCAUGACAUGAGAGAAGCCUCCUACAAAGAUGGUAAAACAUCAAAUAUCCGGGUGUCCCCUGGGCAACGUCCUUAAAGGUAAAGGUUUCCCCUGACGUUAAGUCCAGUCAUGUCUGACUCUGGGGGUUGGUGCUCAUCUCCAUUUCUAAGCCGAAGAGCCAGCGUUGUCUGUAGACACCUCCAAGGUCAUGUGGCUGGCAUGACUGCAUGGAGCGCCGUUACCUUCCCGCCGGAGCGGUACCUAUUGAUCUACUCACAUUGGCAUGUUUUCGAACUGCUAGGUUGGCAGAAGCUGGAGCAACAGCGGGCGCUCACUCCGCUCCCGGGAUUUGAACUUGGGACCUUUCGGUCUGCAAGUUCAGCAGCUCAGUGCUUUAACACACUUCGCCACCGGGGCUC